rnacentral:rRNA from 1 species
AUUGAACGCUGGCGGCAGGCCUAACACAUGCAAGUCGAGCGGGGUUUUCGGACCUAGCGGCGGACGGGUGAGUAAUGCGUAGGAAGCUACCCGAUAGAGGGGGAUACCAGUUGGAAACGACUGUUAAUACCGCAUAAUGUCUACGGACCAAAGUGUGGGACCUUCGGGCCACAUGCUAUCGGAUGCGCCUACGUGGGAUUAGCUAGUUGGUGGGGUAAUGGCUCACCAAGGCGACGAUCCCUAGCUGGUUUGAGAGGAUGAUCAGCCACACUGGAACUGAGACACGGUCCAGACUCCUACGGGAGGGAGCAGCGGGGAAUAUUGGACAAUGGGCGCAAGCCUGAUCCAGCCAUGCCGCGUGUGUGAAGAAGGCCUUCGGGUUGUAAAGCACUUUCAGUAGGGAGGAAGGGUGUUGUGUUAAUAGCACAGCAUUUUGACGUUACCUACAGAAGAAGCACCGGCUAACUCUGUGCCAGCAGCCGCCGUAAGAC